rnacentral:rRNA from 1 species
UACGUAGGGUGCAAGCGUUGUCCGGAAUUAUUGGGCGUAAAGAGCUCGUAGGCGGUUUGUCGCGUCUGCUGUGAAAUCCCGAGGCUCAACCUCGGGCCUGCAGUGGGUACGGGCAGACUAGAGUGCGGUAGGGGAGAAUGGAACUCCUGGUGUAGCGGUGGAAUGCGCAGAUAUCAGGAAGAACACCGAUGGCGAAGGCAGUUCUCUGGGCCGUAACUGACGCUGAGGAGCGAAAGCGUGGGGAGCGAACGGG